rnacentral:rRNA from 1 species
GAUGAACGCUGGCGGCGUGCCUAAUACAUGCAAGUCGAGCGAACAGACGAGGAGCUUGCUCCUCUGACGUUAGCGGCGGACGGGUGAGUAACACGUGGAUAACCUACCUAUAAGACUGGGAUAACUUCGGGAAACCGGAGCUAAUACCGGAUAAUAUAUUGAACCGCAUGGUUCAAUAGUGAAAGACGGUUUUGCUGUCACUUAUAGAUGGAUCGGCGCCGCAUUAGCUAGUUGGUAAGGUAACGGCUUACCAAGGCAACGAUGCGUAGCCGACCUGAGAGGGUGAUCGGCCACACUGGAGCUGAGACGCGGUCCAGACUCCUACGGGAGGCAGCAGUAGGGAAUGUUCCGCAAUGGGCGAAAGCCUGACGGAGCAGCGCCGCGUGAGUGAUGAAGGUCUUCGGAUCGUAAAACUCUGUUAUUGGGGAAGAACAAAUGUGUAAGGAACUAUGCACGUCUUGACGGUACCUGGUCAGAAAGCCACGGCUAACUACGUG